rnacentral:misc_RNA from 1 species
GUGAAUCAUCAAAUCUUUGAACACAAAUUGCACUCUCCGGUUUUCCGGGAGAGUAUGCCUGUUUGAGGGUCAGCCUAAAAAAAAAAUCGACGUAUUUGCUGUUUUGCGGUGACAUUCGUCGGAAAUUUGGUCAUCUUAAACCUUUGGGUUUUUUUAUUUGCUUAUAAUUUUCUUUACUAUUCCACUAACGUUUCUUAGAUUUUACUUCUUACACACUUUUAAGUUAUCGAUCUUUAUUACACGUGGCCGUUGC